AGUGAACGCUGGCGGUAGGCCUAACACAUGCAAGUCGAACGGCAGCACAGUAAGAGCUUGCUCUUACGGGUGGCGAGUGGCGGACGGGUGAGGAAUACAUCGGAAUCUACUUUUUCGUGGGGGAUAACGUAGGGAAACUUACGCUAAUACCGCAUACGACCUACGGGUGAAAGCAGGGGAUCUUCGGACCUUGCGCGAUUGAAUGAGCCGAUGUCGGAUUAGCUAGUUGGCGGGGUAAAGGCCCACCAAGGCGACGAUCCGUAGCUGGUCUGAGAGGAUGAUAGGCGGCACUGGAACUGAGACAGGGUCCAGACUCCUACGGGAGGCAGCAGUGGGGAAUAUUGGACAAUGGGCGCAAGCCUGAUCCAGCCAUACCGCGUGGGUGAAGAAGGCCUUCGGGUUGUAAAGCCCUUUUGUUGGGAAAGAAAAGCAGCAGGUUAAUACCCCGCUGUUCUGACGGUACCCAAAGAAUAAGCACCGGCUAACUUCGUG
rnacentral:rRNA from 1 species